rnacentral:rRNA from 1 species
UAAUACUCCAUAGAUCAUGGGAUCUGGAAUGACCCAUGGUUGAAAGUUCCGGCGCUUAAGGAUCGCUCUGCGGCUUAUCAGGUUGUAGUGGGUGUAACGUACCCCCUAGCCAGUGACGAGUAUGGGCCUUGAGAGAGGGAGCCCAGAGUUGGAUUCUGAGACACGAAUCCAGGCCCUACGGGGCGCAGCAGUCGCGAAAACUUCACACUGGGGGCAACCCCGAUGAGGGAAUUCCUAGUGCUAGGACAUUUGUUCUAGCUUUUCUCUAGCGUAGAUAACUAGAGGAAUAAGGGCUGGGUAAGACGGGUGCCAGCCGCCGCGGUAAUACCUGCAGCCCAAGUGGUGGUCGAUUUUAUUGAGUCUAAAGCGUUCGUAGCCGGUUUGAUAAAUCCUUGGGUAAAUCGGGAAGCUUAACUUUCCGACUUCCGAGGAGACUGUCAAACUUGGGACCGGGAGAGGCUAGAGGUACUUCUGGGGUAGGGGUAAAAUCCUGUAAUCCUAGAAGGACCACCGGUGGCGAAGGCGUCUAGCUAGAACGGAUCCGACGGUGAGGGACGAAGCCCUGGGUCGCAAACGGGAUUAGAUACCCCGGUAGUCCAGGGUGUAAACGCUGCCGACUUGGUGU